AUACGGAAGGUCCGGGCGUUAUCCGGAUUUAUUGGGUUUAAAGGGAGCGCAGGCGGAGAUGCAAGCGUGACGUCAAAUUUCGGGGCUCAACCCCGUCUCGCGUCGCGAACUGCGUCCCUUGGUUGCGGGAAGGGGAGGCGGAACUCGUGGUGGAGCGGGGAAAUGCAUAGAUAUCACGAAGAACUCCGAUCGCGAAGGCAGCCUUCCGGCCCGUCAACGACGCUCAUGCUCGAAGGUGCGGGUAUCAAACAGGAUUAGAUACCCUGGUAGUCCGCACAGUAAACGAUGGACACCCGCGGUUUGGCCUGUAUGGCUGAGCCGCCAAGCGAAAGCGUUAAGUGUCCCACCUGGGGAGUACGCCGGCAACGGUGAAACUCAAAUGAAUUGACGGGG
rnacentral:rRNA from 1 species